GUAACGAAUAUUCCGCAAUGGGCGCAAGCCUGACGGAGCGACGCCGCGUGCAGGAUGAAGCGGCUUUGCCGUGUAAACUGCUGUCAGGGGCUACUAACACUGAAGAGCCCCAGAGGAAGGGCCGGCUAAUCCUGUGCCAGCAGCCGCGGUAAUACAGGAGGCCCGAGCGUUAAUCGGAAUCACUGGGCUUAAAGGGUGCGUAGGCGGGUCCGUAAGAGCGUCGUGAAAUCCCCCGGCUCAACCGGGGAACUGCGGCGCAGACUGCGGAUCUUGAGGAAGCUAGGGGUCGCUGGAACGCUCGGUGGAGCGGUGAAAUGCGUUGAGAUCGAGCGGAACGCCGAAGGUGAAGACAGGCGACUGGGGCUUUCCUGACGCUGAGGCACGAAAGCGUGGGGAUCAAACAGGAUUAGAAACCCUGGUAGUCC
rnacentral:rRNA from 1 species